rnacentral:rRNA from 1 species
GACGAACGCUGGCGGCGUGCCUAAUACAUGCAAGUAGAACGCUGAAGGAGGAGCUUGCUUCUCUGGAUGAGUUGCGAACGGGUGAGUAACGCGUAGGUAACCUGCCUGGUAGCGGGGGAUAACUAUUGGAAACGAUAGCUAAUACCGCAUAAUAGCAGUUGUUGCAUGACAACUGUUUGAAAGGUGCAAUUGCACCACUACCAGAUGGACCUGCGUUGUAUUAGCUAGUUGGUGGGGUAACGGCCCACCAAGGCGACGAUACAUAGCCGACCUGAGAGGGUGAUCGGCCACACUGGGACUGAGACACGGCCCAGACUCCUACGGGAGGCAGCAGUAGGGAAUCUUCGGCAAUGGACGGAAGUCUGACCGAGCAACGCCGCGUGAGUGAAGAAGGUUUUCGGAUCGUAAAGCUCUGUUGUAAGAGAAGAACGAGUGUGAGAGUGGAAAGUUCACACUGUGACGGUAUCUUACCAGAAAGGGACGGCUAACUACGUG